rnacentral:snRNA from 1 species
AGCUUUGCACAGUGACAGGAUCGUAGCCAGUGAGGUUUCUCUGAGGCACGAGUAUUGCUAAUUUAAAACCAAUCAAGAGAAACGUCCUCAAAUGUAAUGAAAAAUGUUACAAGCGUUAACCCU